UGGCGGCGUAGCUCAGGUGGCUAGAGCGAAGGCUUCAUAAUCCUUAGGUCCAGGGUUCAACUCCCCGCGCCGCUAUC
rnacentral:tRNA from 1 species